AUUGAACGCUGGCGGCAGGCCUAACACAUGCAAGUCGAGCGGAGCGGCCGACGGGUGAGUAAUGCCUAGGACUCUGCCUGGUAGUGGGGGAUAACGUCCGGAAACGGGCGCUAAUACCGCAUCCUAUCAGAUUAGCCUAGGUCGGAUUAGCUAGUUGGUGGGGUAAAGGCAUACCAAGGCGACGAUCCGUAACUGGUCUGGGAGGAUGAUCAGUCACACUGGAAAUGGGACACGGUCCAGACUCAUACGGGAGGCAGCAGUGGGGAAUAUUGGACAAUGGGCGAAAGCCGGAUGCAGCGACGCCGCGUGGGGGAUGAAGGCUUUCGGGUUGUAAACCUCUUUCGCUAUCGAACGGGUAGGUGGAGAAGAAGCGCCGGCUAACUACGUGCCAGCAGCCGCGGUAAUAC
rnacentral:rRNA from 1 species